rnacentral:rRNA from 2 species
UACGUAGGUGGCGAGCGUUGUCCGGAAUUAUUGGGCGUAAAGGGAGCGCAGGCGGGAGAUCAAGUCUAUCUUAAAAGUGCGGGGCUCAACCCCGUGAGGGGAUGGAAACUGGUCUUCUUGAGUGCAGGAGAGGAAAGCGGAAUUCCUAGUGUAGCGGUGAAAUGCGUAGAUAUUAGGAGGAACACCAGUGGCGAAGGCGGCUUUCUGGACUGUAACUGACGCUGAGGCUCGAAAGCGUGGGGAGCGAACAGG